rnacentral:lncRNA from 1 species
GUCAAAGUGGAAUUUGUCCAUGUCGUUUAUUUAAGGUUUUACAAGGCCCUGCAAAGAGUCCUCCCCUGAGUCUGGACAAGAAGAGGGUUUAGUAACAACGUGGUGAGACCUAUGAGGAAACCAAGCAACUGGCCUUGAUGCUCCAAAAAUGUCAGGUCUUGGGAAUUCCCUGGCGGGCCAGUGGUUCAGACUCUGGGCUUCCACAGCAGGGGCCAUGGGUUCCAUCCCUGGUCAGGGAACUAUAAUUCCCCCAUGCCUCGUGGGGCAGCCAAAAAAAAAAAAAAAAAAAGUAAGGUCCUAAAAGACACAGGAGGGCUGAGGGUCUGCCCUGAUUAAAGAGGAUUGUCCUACUGAAUAGCACAGGAAACUCUGCUCAGUGUUAUGUGCCAGGCUGGGUGGCAGGAAGGUUUGGAAGAGAAUGGAUUCAUGUAUAUGGAUGACUGAGUCUUUUGCUGUCCACCUGUAACUAUCACACAUUUUUAAUCAGCUAUUUUCCAAUAUAAAAUAAAAAGUUAAAAAAUAAAAAAAUUUUAAAAGUGUGUAUUUUGCUCUCCGCGCCCGCUUGCGCCCAGACCCCAUCGGCUGGGCCUUCUGGGUCGGCGGUGCGGGUGUAUCGGGCUCAUUGCAUGGAACGAAGGCUAGUGAAGGCCCUGUGGCGGCCUCCAUGCCCAAGACCUCCAGGCCUAGAGAGGUGGAGCUUCGAGAGGCUGAAGAGAGAUUCUCCCAGCAGAGCCGCUGGGCUGCGGGGAUUCCCUUCCUAACAGGGCCAGCAGGAUGUGGGGCCAUGUUGAAGCUGGAAUGACCCCAGAGGCUAAGGAGAAAGCACUGCCUUCUGAAGACUCUGUCCUUCUUCAGGAAGAGGAGGAAAUGCCCAGAUUACAGGAGACACAGCUUCGACCCCUCGUCUGGGAAGAUCCUACGUGCGGCGGAGCAACCAAGGCUGUGCACCACAACUAUUGAGCCUGUGCUCUAGAGCCUGGGAACUGCAACUAUUGCACCUACUAAAGCCCAUGAGCCCUAGAGCCUGUGCUCUGCAACAAGAGAAGCCUCUACAGUGAGAAGUCUGCGCACUGCAACUAGACAAGAGCCUACGUGCAGCAACGAAGACCCAGCACAGCCAAAACUAAAUACAAUUAUAUUAAAAAAUAAUAAUAAUAAAAUAAAAGUGUGUAUUUUACUGCUGAAAGAA